UGUGAAAUUUUGCUCUGUGGGACAUAAAAUUCUACCAAACAAAUGGUACCUGGUACCUCAUCACAGCUUGUACGAUCAACUGAAAAGUUAUUGAGGCUGAAGAUAUAAAGAAACAGAUAAACAGAGGAGUUUUAAUUAUAGAGGACCAAAUAAAUUCACAGAAUUACCUGAAAAAAGGCAAAACACCCAUUGCAAGAUUUCUACUGGAACCAGUAACACCCUUCUCAGAAGGUGGCAUCCAAAAUGGAAAUAAAUUCUCAUUUUCUGAGAGCAUUUGAUCUACUUACUUCAGAUCAUGCCGACUGACUACAGUAUAAGAAUGGUCAUCCAAUGUGGGGGUGCACAUAAAAGAUUCUGCAAAACUGAGCCUACUGACUGCUGGAGCAUGCUGCCCAAUAUAUCAUGUUUAUGCAAUGAAGAAGCAUGGAUCCACAUCACUCAGAUCUUACCUUUAAAAUGGCAGUGAAGACCUUGAAAUUGUAAAUGAGGUUGGCUGGCUGACAUAUAUAAUAUGAAGAUUCUUUUUGUAUGGAAAGAAGGCACGUACAAGUAUUGUUGAAGCAUUUGUAGUAACUUCAGCUAUGCUUCAUGAGAAGUGAUCUUGAGAAGCAGCAGUAGUACAGCCACCAAAUACAAGAGGACACAUUUUCAUUGUGUUUAGAAGUCAUGAAUGUCAUAGAACAAAGCAUUGCUGUUCCCUGAAGACUUCUUCUAGCCUUUGCAUGCUUCAGGUUUUGCAGUGAAGAUGUUGGCUGUUCCUGGCUGAAAGGGGAGAGGAGAGGAAAGCAGCCUGACAUAGAUGGAAAGGGCAGAAGAAGUAUAUCUGCUUACAAAAGAGAAGUGUGGGAGAGCUGAGGAGUGGGAACCCAAGGUAGAGGAUCUUGUGGCAAGAAUCUGAAAAUGAAGCUUGUGUCUGUACAAGUGUUUGGAGUGAGACUCAAGUUUUUGUGCCUGAUUUCUAAGUUGUCCAGGUAUUGCAUUCAUUGUGUCAUUAUGCUUCAGCUAAUAAAUAUCUGCUGAAAAAUAAAUGAGAAUUAACUUGGUGG